rnacentral:rRNA from 1 species
AGUGAACGCUGGCGGUAGGCCUAACACAUGCGAGUCGAACGGCAGCACAGUAAGAGCUUGCUCUUACGGGUGGCGAGUGGCGGACGGGUGAGGAAUACAUCGGAAUCUACUUUUUCGUGGGGGAUAACGUAGGGAAACUUACGCUAAUACCGCAUACGACCUACGGGUGAAAGCAGGGGAUCUUCGGACCUUGCGCGAUUGAAUGAGCCGAUGUCGGAUUAGCUAGUUGGCGGGGUAAAGGCCCACCAAGGCGACGAUCCGUAGCUGGUCUGAGAGGAUGAUCAGCCACACUGGAACUGAGACACGGUCCAGACUCCUACGGGAAGGAGCAGUGGGGAAUAGUGGACAAUGGGCGCAAGCCUGAUCCAGCCAUACCGCGUGGGUGAAGAAGGCCUUCGGGUUGGAAAGCCCUUUUGUUGGGAAAGAAAAGCAGCAGGUUAAUACCCCGCUGUUCUGACGGUACCCAAAGAAUAAGCACCGGCUAACUUCGUG